rnacentral:rRNA from 1 species
AGGACGAACGCUGGCGGCGUGCUUAACACAUGCAAGUCGAGCGGAAAGGCCCUUCGGGGUACUCGAGCGGCGAACGGGUGAGUAACACGUGAGUAAUCUGCCCCUAGCUCUGGGAUAGCUCCGGGAAACCGGGAUUAAUACCAGAUACGACCACUUUAGACAUCUGUUGUGGUGGAAAGAAUUUUGGUUAGGGAUGAGCUCGCGGCCUAUCAGCUUGUUGGUGAGGUAACGGCUCACCAAGGCGACGACGGGUAGCCGGCCUGAGAGGGCGACCGGCCACACUGGGACUGAGACACGGCCCAGACUCCUACGGGAGGCAGCAGUGGGGAAUAUUGCGCAAUGGGCGAAAGCCUGACGCAGCGACGCCGCGUGGGGGAUGAAGGCCUUCGGGUUGUAAACCCUUUCAGCAGGGACGAAGCGAAAGUGACGGUACCUGCAGAAGAAGCGCCGGCUAACUACGCGCCAGCAGCCGC